rnacentral:rRNA from 1 species
CCGGCGACCGGCGCACGGGUGAGUAACACGUAUGCAACCUGCCCUCCGCAGGGGGAUAACCCGGAGAAAUCCGGACUAAUACCGCGUGGUACACCAGUGGGGCAUCCCACGGGUGUUAAAAGGAAAGCGAUUCCGGCGGAGGAUGGGCAUGCGGCGCAUUAGCUUGUUGGCGGGUAACGCCCACCAAGGCGACGAUGCGUAGGGGCUCUGAGAGGAAGGUCCCCCACACUGGUACUGAGACACGGACCAGACUCCUACGGGAGGCAGCAG